UACGAAGGGGGCUAGCGUUGUUCGGAAUUACUGGGCGUAAAGCGCGCGCAGGCGGCUCUUCAAGUCAGGGGUGAAAGCCCAGAGCUCAACUCUGGAACUGCCUUUGAGACUGAAAAGCUUGAGUACGGGAGAGGUGAGUGGAAUUCCCAGUGUAGAGGUGAAAUUCGUAGAUAUUGGGAAGAACACCGGUGGCGAAGGCGGCUCACUGGCCCGUUACUGACGCUGAGGUGCGAAAGCGUGGGGAGCAAACAGG
rnacentral:rRNA from 1 species